rnacentral:rRNA from 1 species
ACCCUACGGGAGGCAGCAGUAGGGAAUCUUCCACAAUGGACGAAAGUCUGAUGGAGCAACGCCGCGUGAGUGAAGAAGGGUUUCGGCUCGUAAAGCUCUGUUGGUAGUGAAGAAAGAUACAGGUAGUAACUGGCCUUUAUUUGACGGUAAUUACUUAGAAAGUCACGGCUAACUACGUGCCAGCAGCCGCGGUAAUACGUAGGUGGCAAGCGUUGUCCGGAUUUAUUGGGCGUAAAGCGAGUUCAGGCGGUUUAAUAAAACUUGUGUGUAACACUUUCG